rnacentral:rRNA from 2 species
AGACCCGAAACCCGGUGAUCUAGCCAUGGGCAGGUUGAAGGUUGGGUAACACUAACUGGAGGACCGAACCGACUAAUGUUGAAAAAUUAGCGGAUGACCUGUGGCUGGGGGUGAAAGGCCAAUCAAACCGGGAGAUAGCUGGUUCUCCCCGAAAGCUAUUUAGGUAGCGCCUCGUGAAUUCAUCUCCGGGGGUAGAGCACUGUUUCGGCUAGGGGGCCAUCCCGGCUUACCAACCCGAUGCAAACUGCGAAUACCGGAGAAUGUUAUCACGGGAGACACACGGCGGGUGCUAACGUCCGUCGUGAAGAGGGAAACAACCCAGACCGCCAGCUAAGGUCCCAAAGUCAUGGUUAAGUGGGAAACGAUGUGGGAAGGCCCAGACAGCCAGGAUGUUGGCUUAGAAGCAGCCAUCAUUUAAAGAAAGCGUAAUAGCUCACUGGUCGAGUCGGCCUGCGCGGAAGAUGUAACGGGGCUAAACCAUGCACCGAAGCUGCGGCAGCGAACGUAUCACUUAAAGCGAUUCAGCGGGUUACGAUUGACGGAGCGAAGCGACGUCAAAGCGUAUACAAAGUCGAGUCGGUUUAAGGAUACGUUCGUUGGGUAGGGGAGCGUUCUGUAAGCC